rnacentral:rRNA from 1 species
AUUGAACGCUGGCGGCAGGCCUAACACAUGCAAGUCGAGCGAGCGGCGGACGGGUGAGUAAUGUAUGGGGACUGCCCGAUAGAGGGGGAUAACUACUGGAAAAGGUGGCUAAUACCGCAUACUAUCGGAUAACCCAUAUGGGAUUAGCUAGUAGGUGGGGUAAAGGCUCACCUAGGCGACGAUCCUUAGCUGGUCUGAGAGGAAGAUUAGCCACACUGCGACGUCGAGACGGCCCAGACGCCUACGGAGGCAGCUGUGGGGAAUAUUGCACAAUUGGCGAAAUCCUGAUGCAGCCAUGCCGCGUGUAUGAAGAAGGCCUUAGGGUUGUAAAGUACUUUCAGCGGGGAGGCGUUACCCGCAGAAGAAGCACCGGCUAACUCCGUGCCAGCAGCCGCGGUAAUAC